GACGAACGCUGGCGGCGUGCUUAACACAUGCAAGUCGAGCGGUAAGGCCCUUUCGGGGGUACACGAGCGGCGAACGGGUGAGUAACACGUGGGUGACCUGCCUUUAGCUCUGGGAUAAGCCUGGGAAACUGGGUCUAAUACCGGAUAUGACCCUAUGGCGCAUGUUGUGGGGUGGAAAGCCUUGUGCGGCUAGGGAUGGGCCCGCGGCCUAUCAGCUUGUUGGUGGGGUGAUGGCCUACCAAGGCGACGACGGGUAGCCGGCCUGAGAGGGCGACCGGCCACACUGGGACUGAGACACGGCCCACGACUCCUACGGGAGGCAGCAGUGGGGAAGUCUUGCGCAAUGGGCGAAAGCCUGACGCAGCGACGCCGCGUGAGGGAUGACGG
rnacentral:rRNA from 1 species